AAGAGAUUCAAUCAGUUACACCUUCUACAGGAAAAGUGUUUUGGCAUCCUUUCUAGGGAAAGACAGACGGAUCAGGCACCAGGUCCCCAAUACUAUGGCAAUUUCUCCAUGUCCAACCACCUCUACCCUGCCUCUUCUGCUGAUGACUCUGCUCCUAAACAUCUCUGCUAACCCCUCUCCCACCUUGGUGGCAGGACAGCUGAUGACUUUCACCUGCAACUACUUGGGAUUCUACAUUCAACAAGUCACAAUUAAAUGGCUGGAAGAUGGGAAGGAGUCACAUUUCCAUCACGAAUCAUUUACCAGCAGCAGAACUAGCAAUACUUUCUACAAUAUCACCAAAAUGGUACAAAUACCAUCCACCUGGUCCAAUGUCCAGGCUCAUGUGAUCUGUAUGGUAAAGUCCAUACCACCCACAUGGCCCUUGACCUUGAAUCCUCCAAAGGAUGAAAUGAACUAUUCCCUAUCAAAUACAGGUAAGCCUGCCUUGCUCAGUUCCUGACAAAGCUCAAGGCAUCAAUCCAGCUGGUCAUAGAAGGUGAGAAUUAAAAAAAAAGAAAGAAAAAGAAUUGGUUGAUCAAUAAAUAUUUAGUGGCAACUAAGUCA
rnacentral:lncRNA from 1 species